UCGCUACUACCGAUUGAACGGCUUAGUGAGAUUUGAGGACCGAGGGGAGUGCAGGGUUUCUUGCGCUCUCACUCGAGGAACCAACUCAAACUUGGUCGUUUAGAGGAAGUAA
rnacentral:rRNA from 1 species